GUGCUCACUUUGGCAGCACAUAUACUAAAAAUGGGCACGAUACAGAGAAGAAUAGCAUGGCCCCUGUGCAAGGAUGACAUGCAAACUCGUGAAGAAUUUCACAUUAAA
rnacentral:snRNA from 1 species